rfam:Ictidomys tridecemlineatus contig122785, whole genome shotgun sequence.
GGUGUUGUGGUUCAAUGGUAGAAUGCUUGCCUAACAUGCAUGAGGAACUGAGUUUGAAGUUUGAUUCCCAGCACUU